rnacentral:rRNA from 1 species
GACGGUACCUAAUGUAAGCAUCGGCUAACUCCGUGCCAGCAGCCGCGGUAAUACGGAGGAUGCAAGCGUUAUCCGGAAUCAUUGGGCGUAAAGAGUCCGUAGGUGGCACUUCAAGUCUGCUUUCAAAGACCGAAGCUCAACUUCGGAAAGGGAGUGGAAACUGAAGAGCUAGAGUAUAGUAGGGGUAGAGGGAAUUCCUAGUGUAGCGGUGAAAUGCGUAGAGAUUAGGAAGAACACCAGUGGCGAAGGCGCUCUACUGGGCAUAUACUGACACUGAGGGACGAAAGCUAGGGGAGCGAAAGGGAUUAGAUACCCCUGUAGUCCUAGCGGUAAACGAUGGAUACUAGGCGUAGUGCUGUUAGAAGGACUGUGCCGAAGCUAACGCGUUAAGUAUCCCGCCUGGGGAGUACGCACGCAAGUGUGAAACUCAAAGGAAUUGACGGGGACCCGCACAAGCGGUGGAGUAUGUGGUUUAAUUCGAUGCAACGCGAAGAACCUUACCAAGGCUUGACAUCCUGCGAAUCUUGGAGAAAUCUGAGAGUGCCUAAGGGAACGCAGAGACAGGUGGUGCAUGGCUGUCGUCAGCUCGUGUCGUGAGAUGUUGGGUUAAGUCCCGCAACGAGCGCAACCCUCGUCCUUAGUUGCCAGCAUUAAGUUGGGGACUCUAGGGAGACCGCCGGGGAGAACUCGGAGGAAGGUGGGGAUGACGUCAAGUCAGCAUGCCCCUUACGUCUUGGGCUACACACGUACUACAAUGGUUGGGACAAAGGGGAGCGAAACCGCGAGGUGGAGCGAAUCUCAUCAAACCCAGCCACAGUUCAGAUUGCAGGCUGAAACUCGCCUGCAUGAAGGAGGAAUCGCUAGUAAUCGCAGGUCAGCAUACUGCGGUGAAUCCGUUCC